rnacentral:ncRNA from 1 species
CGGGCCAAGGGGUAAAAGGGAAACAGGUGCGAAUCCUGUACGAUCUCGUCACCGUGUUGCGGAGCCGAUUGUCAUAUGUCACUGGGAAACCGGGAAGACGACAAAAGGCGAUGAUGCUGAGCCGGGAAACCUGCCUUUUGCGAA